GAAAUUCUUUAAUGGAGCUCAAUUUGAAUGGGCCAUUACAAAAAUAUAAAGCACAUCUCAUUUCUCAAGAAUUACUUAACGAUCAGACAUUGAUUAUACUGAGACCUUUUAAUUGCUUAACAACUACAUAUCGAGUUAUUUUAACUAUAAUUGUCAGAAGAAAUUAAACUUUGUGUCAAUUAGGUAUCAACAAUACCUUCUUGCAUGUUUAUAAAAUGAAAAAGUUUUAUCUGGAUCGAUUGAAAGAUUUUUUUACCACACAAGUACUACAUAUGUCUGCAAACUCACGAAGACAAUUUAUGGUCUUAAUUAGGCACCACAAGCUUGGUAUUCAAAACUACAUAGCUAUCUUCUAAACUUUGGUUUUCAAGUUUCUCAUAAUGAUCAUUGUCUUUUCAUUUACAGUCAGUUUGAUAUCACUAUUUUCUUAAUCAUUUAUGUUGAUGACUUGAUUGUUACUUGAGUAAUUAAAAUGUUCUCGAUCAGUUUGUUUUUGAGAUUCGGGUAACUUUUCUGCUAUGAACAAAAUUCAGCCUGAUGUGGACAUCAAGGUCACACAAGUAGUUAUUGUGCUGACAAGAGCUAUUGGACUUAGAACAACAAUAGGACCAAGUUAAUUAGGGAUUCGGGUUGAGUAGUUGGCAUGAAAUGGUUCUAUCAAAAAGGGUAGUGGUCUGUGAAUUAGGGAUUAUGCAAAUUCUUGAAAAAAAUAUCUAGUCCUCUCAUCCCCUUUCUUUGAGACUACUUCUCAUCUUCAAUUUUCUUCUAUCUUUAAUUACUUGUUAUUUCUAUAUUUUCAUUGUAAGUAGUUUGAUUAUUGCAACUAGAAUUGUAAGAUUGUAAUCGUAUUUUAGUGCUCUUAUUAAUAUAGCGAGGAUUUCGGUUUGUUACAUUGGUGCUUUCAUUGAGAGUACUCUAAUGGAAGUGGUAGUUUUAGAUCGAUUUUGUGGCAACGCUGAUCCAGAGGAAUGGAUUUACAAGGCAGAGCGGUACUUUACUUAUCUAGACUUCUCUGAGGAACACUGGUUGCCUCUUCCUUCCUUCUAUCUUGAUGGUGAGGCCCUUGAGUGGUUCCGUUGGAUGUUUCGCAACAAACAAAUUUUUUGAUUGGAAAAGCCCUGCAUUUUUCGAAACGAACCGAUGCAAAGUCUCUUGAGGUGGACGCUCAACUUACCAGAAUUCUUGUUUUGCUACGGAAGAUGGAGGACAAAUGUUCUCCACAGGUUCUAAUAGAAGAUGUCUGGAUUAGUGCUGCUACAGUCCUAAGCAGAGAGAUUUCUCCUCCUUUGGCCGAAGAAAACUCAGUUGUGUUGAUAAUGUUGAGAGUCAUCCAGAGUUGUUUGGCACUUCUAUAGUUGAACAUUUAAGUCAUGUGGACAAUCUGUUCGAGGAAAUGUCUACCAGAGUUUUCACCAAAGAAGUACAGGAAACUUCUUCGGCCUCCAGAAUUUUAGCUGAUUUGGAAGAUAUUCAGCCACUCAAGUUGCUGCCCCAAUAUAGUCGAAGAGGUUCAACCUGAGACUCCAAUCGAAAUGCUUGAUGAUGACUCACCAGGCCCUGAACGCAGCAAGUCCAACUGCUCGAUGAAUGUUUCCAAAGAGAUAUGUCAAAGAGGUACAUUAGUGCGACGUAUGGGGAUCAUAGCUUUAGUAAACAGGAAAUUGAAUUUGAAAGAUUUGAUGACAGGUAUCUUCCUAAGUUUUUCAUAUGCUAAUUCCACAACUCAUGCAGAUACAAUGUACAAGGAUACAUUACAGUUGUUGGGAUCUAGUGACAAGUUUUGCUUCAUGUCAUAUGCUAAUUCCACAACUCAGGUUUGGGAUCCCGGUCAAAAUUUGCAUAUGAAUUCCUACACUGGAAAUAAUUGAAAAUAAAAUGGUUGACUCAGAGAUUAAUGGAAUAUCACUGACAACAAUUGAAGGUGAUAAUGUUGAUUCACAAAAGGAAGGAUCACAAUCUUCUCGUGAUGACUUGCGCUCAACUACGACUACCUCUACAUUAGUACCAACGGAAGACUGGAAAGACCUUGUUAGUUGUUGGGCUCUACCAUGGAGGACUAUUAAUAUGUUAUGAUCAGCAAGGGUCAAACAAAGGUUAGUGAGAAGUCUUAUAUGCGACCUCUGCAUAAGUCAAUAGGACAACGAAAUACAAAGCUUUGCUUUUUACUAUUGACAUCGACAUAUUAUGAGUUGCUUGAACCUUACAUGGACACUGUAUUUAAAUUGACCACUGAGGGAUCAGACAAAGAUGAGAAUGUUAUCGCUUUUCUAGAAAUAGAGCUUUGGAGUAAAGUCCUUAAACUAGAUGGUCUGCAAUGCUGUGAAAGGAAUAGCAGUUUUCGAUGGAUAAAUCACUUGUAGCUUGGUCUUAAAACACAAAUUUUCUCAUUGGAGGAAGACGAGUUGAUUGUUACUCUAUGUGUCAUUUUUGAACAGAGACGGGCUCAAAUUGCAACACAGUUAACAGAAACAUCACAAGAUCAACUGUUAUUUUUGGCAGGAAUGUUUCAUGGUUUGACAUUGGGAGUGUGUUGAUGGGUUAUGGAAGUUGGGUUAUUUCGUUCAUGGUAUCGACAUGUAUAACUGAAAUAACACCUAAGCAUUUUCGAGACUCAUUCACCAUUAUCAAUCAACUAACGAUAUGUUGCAGAAGAUCACUUAUAAUACAACUUUUCGGCCUAUGUUUUAUACAAGAUUCUCCUAGAUAGCUGGCCAAGGCUACUCACUGGAAAGCAUGCACAACUUCUCUUCCGCCCUUUAAGAGGAACACUGUCUAUAUAUCAUCAUCAAGUACUUCAGUAGAAGAAUUCAUAUCAAUCCUUCAAACCACUCUCCAAAGUUAAGAUGCUUGAUUUGAUGUUUGUUCUCUAGUAUUUAAAGUUGGAUUAGUGGUAUUGCAUCAAAUUGGUCAAGUUAAAGCUGCUUCAUAUUGUGCAAUUAUAUUUGUACUUGUACCAGAAAAGUACAUAUCAUUCUUGCCCAUUCUUGAAGUUUAUGUGAAGAAGAAUACACUCACUAGUGUUAUUAGCGCAUACAGGACUACUGAUUUCUUCUUGAUAUCCAUUUGGACCUGCCAACCAGUGGCCUUUGUACUUGUGGAAGUUUCAGUAGCUACAUCUAGCUUAUAACUGUCUUUUGUUGUGGGAUUUCCUUACUCGAACCUUUUGAACAAGGUUCUUAUUGAGGACGAGAGUAUUGUUAUGAACGAAGUUCAGCCUGAUGUGGACACCAAGGUCACACAAGUAGUUAUUGGGCUGACAAGAGCUAUUGGGCCUAGAACGAGCAAUAGGGCCAAGUUAAUUUGGGAUCCGGGUUGAGUAGUUGGCAUGAAAUGGUUCCACCAAAAAGGGUAGUGAUAUGUGAAUUAGGGAUUAUGCAAAUUGUUGAGAAAAAUGUCUAAUCCUCUCAUCCCCUUUCUUUGAGUCUACUUCUCAUCUUCAAUCUUCUCCUAUCUUUAAUUACUUGUUAUUUCUAUAUUUUCAUUGUAAGUUGGUAGUUUGAUUUUGCAACUAGAAUCGUAAGAUUGUAAUUGUGUUUUAGUGCUCUUAUUAAUAUAGCGAGGAUUUUGGUUUGUUACAA